UCUAUCUAUCAUCUACCUCUUAAUUCUCUCAGUUUUUCUGCAUAACAAGCUAGCUAGCCUGUUUCUUUAUCCCCAUCCUAAGGCUCCCAAACAUUAUCCUUAGAUAUGAAUUCUAAAAGCAUAAACCCCCAGAAGGUUUUCAGGCCACCACCACCAACUCAGACUCAGGCGGCGGCUUCCAAAACUGCCAAUGGCACUAAAAUGCCAACCACGCAGAAGAGUUUUUCCAAAGCAAAUACGCCCCAUCCUCCUCACUCUCAGACUCCUUUAAGAACUCCCACCCAAAUCCCCACCACCGCCAAGGUCUUUACCAAGAGACCAUGAUCCAUGCACUUCUCCAUCAGAUUGUGGAAAAGUGCCAGUGACAUUGAAGCGAGAGGGCUUGUAUUAUAGAAGAACACACACACACACACACACGGGGCAAUUUUAUAUAUAUAUAUAUAUAUAUAUAUAUUAUAGCAGAGAGAUGAAGCAAUACUAUAUGUUUUGCGUCUAGAUUUGAUUUAAUUUGUUGUCCUUUAAUUUGUUUGCUUCCAUAAAUAUAAUGAUAAUUAGACCAUGGAUUCAAUCUUCCCGAAUAUUCUCACUCACCAAACUGUAGCAAUAGCAAUAUAAUGUUUAAAUCUGUCCAAUCAUAAAUAAUUAUUUUUACAUUUUGAUGGAGUGAAAAA